UGGGGAAUUUUGAACAAUGGGCGCAAGCCUGAUCCAGCCAUGCCGCGUGCGGGAAGAAGGCCUUCGGGUUGUAAACCGCUUUUGUCAGGGAAGAAAUCUUCUGAGUUAAUACCUCGGGAGGAUGACGGUACCUGAAGAAUAAGCACCGGCUAACUACGUGCCAGCAGCCGCGGUAAUACGUAGGGUGCAAGCGUUAAUCGGAAUUACUGGGCGUAAAGCGUGCGCAGGCGGUUUUGUAAGACAGAGGUGAAAAUCCCCGGGCUCAACCUGGGAACUGCCUUUGUGACUGCAAGGCUUGAGUGCGGCAGAGGGGGGAAUGGAAUUCCGCGUGUAGCAGUGAAAAUGCGUAGAUAUGCGGAGGAACACCGAUGGCGAAGGCAAUCCCCUGGGCCUGCACUGACGCUCACGCACGAAAGCGUGGGGAGCAAAACAGGAUUAGAUACCCUGGUAAGUCCACGCCCUAAAACGAUGUCAACU
rnacentral:rRNA from 1 species